rnacentral:rRNA from 1 species
AAAGCGGGCAGAGAGCAUCUGCCAACUGCUGUGAACAACCAAUUGUUGCCUCGGCGGAUCAGCCCGCUCCCGGUAAAACGGGACGGCCCGCCAGAGACCCCUAAACUCUGUUUCUAUAUGUAACUUCUGAGUAAAACCAUAA